rnacentral:rRNA from 1 species
UACGUAGGGUGCGAGCGUUGUCCGGAUUCAUUGGGCGUAAAGGGUGCGUAGGCGGUGCGGCAAGUCGGGUGUGAAAUCUCGGGGCUUAACUCCGAAACUGCAUUCGAUACUGCCGUGCUUGAGGACUGGAGAGGAGACUGGAAUUUACGGUGUAGCGGUGAAAUGCGUAGAUAUCGGAAGGAAGACCAGUGGCGAAGGCGGGUCUCUGGACAGUUCCUGACGCUGAGGCACGAAGGCCAGGGGAGCAAACGGG